CCAAACUUGGUCAUUUAGAGGAAGUAAAAGUCGUAACAAGGUUUCCGUAGGUGAACCUGCGGAAGGAUCAUUACAAAUCUUUGUGGGGAGAGGGAGAGAUAGUGGUGGGGAGGUCUUUUCUUAUUUCCUUUCCUUCCUCUUCUCUCUCUCUAUAACGUCCCAACUUUUACGCUUGCUGUGUUUGACAGAGUAAUAUUGUGAUUAUAUAAAAUAAGAGACAACUUUUAACAAUGGAUCUCUUGGCUCUUGCAUCGAUGAAGAACGCAGC
rnacentral:misc_RNA from 1 species